UUGAGAUUAAAAUCAUAUGCCAUUGAGGAAAAAGUAUUAUAAAGGCCUAAUGUUAAAAGAAAUCACAAACUUCAAAGCUUCUUACAUUUACAUCCAAUUCUUUUAACUUUAGCAAUUCAGGUCAUAAACAUUAAUUAGUAUUAUAGCCACAUCCCCAUUGAUCUCUCAUUCAAAUUUAUCACUAGUGUGUUAACGUAAAUAUCAAGCUUGAGUUAUAGGGCCAAUGUUGCGUUGAGAAGCUGCUAAAGCAUGCAAUACAUCCCUUGGGGUAUACAUUUGGCAACGGAAAUCCCAUUUGGCAAUAGUCCAUUUGAUUUGAUAAUCAUACAUGCUUCAAAAAGUGAAGUCCAUGCCUCGGUAGCUCCUUCUCCAUUUAGUAUCAUAUUCAUAAGUUAACAGUAAUUUGGACAAACGCAUAAGAAUAUGAUUGUAACACUGAUUCAAUGUGCAGCCUAAAUUGAUAAAACUAUAAUAAUUGGA
rnacentral:misc_RNA from 1 species